CAGCACCUCAAGUGGUCAGGAUGAUUAUUGGGCCUAAAGCAUCCGUAGCCGGCUCUGUAAGUUUUCGGUUAAAUCUGUACGCUCAACGUACAGGCUGCCGGGAAUACUGCAGAGCUAGGGAGUGGGAGAGGUAGACGGUACUCGGUAGGAAGGGGUAAAAUCCUUUGAUCUAUUGAUGACCACCUGUAGCGAAGGCGGUCUACCAGAACACGUCCGACGGUGAGGGAUGAAAGCUGGGGGAGCAAACCGGAUUAGAUACCCGAGUAGUCC
rnacentral:rRNA from 1 species